UGGGGAAUAUUGCACAAUGGGCGAAAGCCUGAUGCAGCAACGCCGCGUGAGGGAAGACGGUUUUCGGAUUGUAAACCUCUGUUUUCGGUGACGAACAAAUGACGGUAACCGAGUAGGAAGCCACGGCUAACUACGUGCCAGCAGCCGCGGUAAUACGUAGGGAGCAAGCGUUGUCCGGAAUGACUGGGCGUAAAGGGAGCGUAGGUGGCCUUUUAAGUGAAAUGUGAAAGCCCGGGGCUCAACUCCGGAACGUCAUUUCAUACUGGAAGGCUGGAGUGCAGGAGAGGUAAGCGGAAUUCCUAGUGUAGCGGUAAAAUGCGUAGAUAUUAGGAAGAACACCAGAGGCGAAGGCGGCUUGCUGGACUGUAACUGACACUGAGGCUCGAAAGCGUGGGGAGCAAACAGGAUUAGAUACCCUGGUAGU
rnacentral:rRNA from 1 species